AUGAACCAAGAUCUGAAGUUAUAAGGAGCGUCUUUUUCUAUAAUUUCAAAGUGGAUUUACAGAUGCUUCUCCUUAACAAGAUCAGAGAAACAGCUGGUUUUCCUAAUGUGUGUAUGUCUGUUCAUUCUGAUUUGACAGAUUUAUGAUUUUGACAUUAAGGGAUAUGAAUUUUGACACAAAUCGAGUCCCUCCGGUGCAAAGGAUUAAAGAUUUGAGAUCAUUAUCGUUUUUAUCAUAAUCUCGAUCUUCCUCACAUAGAGGGGGUUUGGGGUGCUACCCCGGAUUCACGAGAGUGUUUUUCCUCUUGAUUCCUCAGCUGAAGUGGUGUGGUCAGCUUUAGCUUACCAGUCUAUUGUGACAGCUAGAAGACUGCAGAAGAAGACAAAGAACAAUAGGUGCAGUAGGAUAGUGUAGGCUAUGAGUGAGUCUGGAACAAAUGCUGCUUUUCUGGACCAUUGGACAGUAGCAUAUUUUGUGUGGGAUGGAGCUUACUGUUGCUUUCAGGGUUUAUGAAGUGAACAAUAGGGACUCCAGUCUGGGCUCUUAAUUUAUAUGUCUGUUUUUCUGCUCUCUCUCAUAGAUAGAUAGAUAGAUAGAUACUUUAUUUAUCCUGAAGGGAAAUAUAGAUGAUCUCAUCAUCCAUCACCUUUCAUUAAAAAUUUCAUACUGGUUUUCCAGCUCCCUUGGUAAAGUCAAGAUUUUCACUGGAUACUGGAAACAAUGACUGAUUUCCCCUCCAGUUGACCACAUAUUCCACACGCAAACACACAAACACUUCAAUCCUCUGUGGGUUUAUAGGUUGCCUUUUAAAUCUGCCCUCUGUGGUCUUGAGUAUGUACAGAGCUUCAAAUAAAUGGACUGCCUCUCUCUGAAACAAUGAGAAUUUCCUCAGCUCUGACAAAGAUCAAUCUUGGCCGCAAGCGAGGGAAACACAGUCUGUCUGCCAGGGAGAUUUUAAAUGGAGGGACAUCAGUCCAGAGCUGCAGCAAGAUAAAAACCUCCAUAGAGUCCAGACAGUGGUGGUGGUAGCUGAUGACUUCUGCUGAGACCGAUAAGGUUGAUGGAGUGAUGCACUGAUGAAUCUGCAAAGACUGGGAGGUGAUGGGGAGCUGGUGGGGUGCACAAAACAGCAUCGUGAAAGCACUAAGGCAUAGAGGGAGAAGACAUGUUUAAAAAAGACAGCUGCAAUAUGAUAGGCUUACAAUGAAGGUGUGUUACUGUGCUAUUGGUUAGAUGUGACAAGCUGAUGUGAACAGCUGACGCCUUAACUGAUGCCCAGGUGAUUGACAGCAAGGAAAUUAUGAGUGAGCAUGUUUGUGGGAUGGGAAUGACAGAUUGAGAAAAAAGACUACAGACCCAAUGCAGCAGCUAACAUAACUCUUUAGACAACUAUGGCUUUGAGGAAAAACUGAAUUGCAUGUGCAUUUAGGGGUUGACAUAAUAACUGGUACAAACAAGCAGGAGUGUUUUGAUCAUCAACCACAAACGAGAGCUGAAUAUGGAUGCAAGGUGCCCUACAACCUUCAUCUCCCUCUGAAGAAUGAGGAAUCCCUUCACCUGUGGUGUGAAGCUUUAAAUCUGAAGAAACCACCAAAGCGACCAUAUGUUUGUUCUUUUCAUAUCAUUGACACAAGCCCUACGGAAUACCACCCAAUACCGGAGAAGUGGCUGAGCUACGAAGCCCCAAUAAAAACUCCAAGGCGACGUCUUGUCAAGAGAUCAGCAGCCACAGAUGACAGGCACUGUGAUGCAGAUGCUGACACUCGGUGGGAGGUUCAGGCACUGAUGGAUCACAGCUACACAUCAGGAGAAAAGAAGAAGCUUGUAUGCGACAGAGAAACACAAUGUGGUGGUGAAGAACCCUUUGCCCAUGCCAUCCUGAAGAAUGACACCACAUCUGUGCUGUACACAGGCCUUUCUCUCACUGUCUUCUUCGAUCAUGUUAAAUAUCUGCAGUAGUUCUAUAAAGCAAAUUUUAAGAUGCACAUAAUGGAUCAAAUAUUGAUGACAAUGAUGAAGCUGAAGCUGAAUCUACUCCAGGGUGAUCUUGCAGAACACUUUGCUGUGUCCCAGGGGGUAGUGAGCAGGAUCCUGUCCUAUUGGAUAGACACAGUAGGGGAACACAUGAGGAUCUACAUUCCUUGGCUGCCACAGGAGACAGUCCGGAGCACGAUGCCUCAGUGCUUCAGGGAGAAGUUCCCCAACACCACCUGCAUCAUUGACUGCAAUGGGACCACCCCGCAGAAACCACACAAUCUUGACUCCAGAGGUGAGUCAUAAAGCCAUUAUUCAAGCAAUGCUCUUCAGUAUUUAGUUGCUGUUGCCCUGUGUGGGCUUGUUAUGUUCAUUUCUCCUGCUUAUGGAGGCAAUUGUAGCGCAAGUUCAUCAUUCAAGAGUCUAGCUUCCUGGAGUACCUGCAUCCUGGUGAUGAAGUGAUGGCAGACAGAGGCUUUACCAACAGAGAUCUGCUGUUUGAGAGAAGGGUUAAUCUUGUUUUACCAGCGUUCACUCAGAAAGGAGGGCAGUUUUCUGACAAGGAUGUUACUGGCACAAGGGGGAUUGCAAAUGUGCUCAUACAUGUGGAAAGAGGUAUCAGGACGCUCAAGGUGUUAAGAAUAAUCUCCCAGACUGUAUCUAUCAACCUGAGACACAAAAUGGACAAGAUCCUCCGAAUCUCUGCAGCACUUGUGAACAUGCAGGGUGAGAUCAUCCAUGAGGAUGCUGAUUGAGGAUGGCAGUUCACAUUUUGAAAAGAUCCUGAUUUCCACUGAACCUGGAUAUUUGUCCUGCUGAGUGGACCUGCUUAGAUGGCCUGCAGUGCCUCGAUUGUGCUAUCAACUGUCUGUUUUGAUUUUAGUUGCUAAUGGAAUUUGUUGUAUUUACUCAUAUAUGGAGUCCGUGGAUGUGCUCAUAAACUGAACUACAUUUAAGGAAAGAACUAAGAAAAGCUUACUAUUGUAUGUAAAUAAAGUGUCAAGAAGAUAUAUUUCACUUAUAGAUUUGCCUUUUGCUUUUAAAUAAACUGUAAACCAUUACAAUUGUAAUGCACAAAGAAGAGGGUGUGUCUUGGAAGAUCUCAAGUUUUAUACUAAACAGUUCUUGUGUUUGCACCUUGAUGCUUUUACUUUUGUAAUGACUUUUCAAGUACUGAGUGAUAUGGAAUGAUUUUGAGACUAUUUAAAUGUUUACAGAUACAAAUAACUUCCUGUUUAACUUGUGUCCAACUAAAAUAGCUUGUUGUCUGACAUUCCGACAAUGACAAUGACCGACAAUUUACCACCACAGAGGAAGAUGAUUUGUUCAAAGGUGGAGAGUUCCAUACAGCAGGUUUAACCCUUACAUACUGUUGAGGUAAAAAAAAUUUAAUCCCUUCUCUCUUUU